UACAGAGGGUGCAAGCGUUAAUCGGAAUUACUGGGCGUAAAGCGUGCGUAGACGGUUACGUAAGUCGGGUGUGAAAGCCCCGGGCUCAACCUGGGAAUUGCAUUCGAGACUGUGUAGCUAGGGUGCGGAAGAGGGAAGCGGAAUUUCCGGUGUAGCGGUGAAAUGCGUAGAUAUCGGAAGGAACAUCAGUGGCGAAAGCGGCUUCCUGGUCCAGCACCGACGUCAGGCACGAAAGCGUGGGGAGCAAACAGG
rnacentral:rRNA from 1 species